rnacentral:rRNA from 1 species
GAUGAACGCUGGCGGCGUGCCUAAUACAUGCAAGUCGAGCGAAUGGAUUAAGAGCUUGCUCUUAUGAAAUUAGCGGCGGACGGGUGAGUAACACGUGGGUAACCUGCCCAUAAGACUGGGAUAACUCCGGGAAACCGGGGCUAAUACCGGAUAAUAUUUUGAACUGCAUGGUUCAAAAUUGAAAGGCGGCUUCGCCUGUCACUUAUGGAUGGACCCGCGUCGCAUUAGCUAGUUGGUGAGGUAACGGCUCACCAAGGCAACGAUGCAUAGCCGACCUGAGAGGGUGAUCGGCCACACUGGGACUGAGACACGGCCCAGACUCCUACGGGAGGCAGCAGUAGGGAAUCUUCCGCAAUGGACGAAAGUCUGACGGAGCAACGCCGCGUGAGUGAUGAAGGCUUUCGGGUCGUAAAACUCUGUUGUUAGGGAAGAACAAGUGCUAGUUGAAUAAGCUGGCACCUUGACGGUACCUAACCAGAAAGCCACGGCUAACUACGUGCCAGCCGCCGCGGUAA